rnacentral:tmRNA from 1 species
GGGGCUGAUCGGUUUCGACUUGGGACGUCAGUUCCAGGGGAAGCGGGUCGAGAAGCCGGCGUCAUCUCGCAAACGUUCGCCGGAAACCUAUAAGUGCCAACGCUAAGCGCACUGACUUCGCUCUCGCCGCCUGAUUGCGGUGAUCGAAGGGUCUGACCGGGUGAUUGCCUUCGACCCGGACCCAGGCCUCAUCUAGAAGGCUUGCUGCUCAUCUCCUGUCAGGAGGGGUGGGCGGGACACUUUCCUGACUGGGCCUGUCGGUGACGUGUCAGUGCGAGCACCGGGGCCGAGAAAACGACAUCGCUGACUGCACCCGGAGAAGACCUGGUUCGACGCUCGAGGACGCGGGUUCGAUUCCCGCCAGCUCCACUU